rnacentral:rRNA from 1 species
GACAGAGGGUGCAAACGUUGUUCGGAAUCACUGGGCGUAAAGGGUGCGUAGGCGGCUUGGUAGGUCUGGUGUGAAAGCCCCGGGCUCAGCCCGGGAAGGGCACUAGAAACUGCCAAGCUAGAGUGCCGGAGGGGAGAGUGGAAUUCCUGGUGUAGCGGUGAAAUGCGCAGAUAUCAGGAAGAACACCCGUGGCUAAGGCGGCUCUCUAGUACGGUACUGACGCUGAGACGCGAAAGCGUGGGGAGCGAACAGG